GCGGAUAUCGUAUAGUGGCUAUUAUGAUGCCUUGCCAUGGCAUAGAUAGGGGUUCGACUCCCCUUAUCCGCUCCA
rnacentral:tRNA from 1 species